GAUAAGGUGAUUGGAGUUUUGGCUGGAGAAAACAAAAGUGGGGCAGUUAUAUAUAAGACUUUGGCUGGUGUACUAUUAAGGGUUGAUUUCAAAUAAAUGAAAUGCCUUUUGUGUCCAGAAAAUACAUCUACAUGGUGGUAGUUUCUAUCUUACAAAAGUGGCAAGUUAUAAGACGUUGGCUGGCUAGUAUCUUGUUUGGUUUGUUUCUAUAUACUUACUUUCCCUUUGUUAAUUUUGUGAAACGUUGCUUGUUUAUUGAUAAUCUCUAUUUCGCAUGCGUUCAUUUCUGGAUGAUGUUCCCUAUCUUCUGAUUUUGAUUUUUGUAUUGUUAAACCGUACUUCCCAUAUAACACA